CUUCUCUCAAGUUGAUAAUUUUCCAUAAUUAUGAAACAACAGUCUACAUUCUAGAAUUCUGUCUUGUUCAGUUUCUCUAGAAAAAACAGGCAAUAUCAGCAGUCUUCAGAGGACUUUGAUAUCUACAUUUUCUCAAGCACCCUAAAUGAUCAUUCCUUAAAAUGUAGAACUUAUGUUUGUUUUUCCACUAAGUAUUUUUGAGGGUUGGCAUUAUCUAUACAUUCAGCCAUAGAAUCACCCUUAAAAAUGCAUACAACAGGCUCUUCUGGGGAAUGCAAACAUUCAUUCAGCUGUUCUAGAUUAGCUAGACUUGUUGAUUUGCAAUAGAAGAGGGGUCUGAAAAAAAAAUCCUCUCCACCUCUCCUCCGUUUCUCCUCCUCCCCCCCCCCCCCCCCCCCCCCCCCCAUCAAUACUUGCCUAGGGCAAGAGAAUGUCAACCAGCAGAUCUCAGCUCAGACGUGAAAAUGAAAACCUGGGACUGCUAUGGAUUUUAGUGUUUGUUUGUUUGUUUGUUUUUUCUUUCAGAAGGAUACAGACCAGGAAAUUUCUGAAACACAAACAUAUGUUUGCACACUAACUCUAGUAAUUUUUUUUGAGUAAUUUAUUCACUGAUACAUGCCAGGGCAAGAGUUACAAAUCAGAAGUGUAUCUGCAAGGCAGAUUAUUUAUCUCCAAAGGAAACUCUUGCCAACUGAUCCCAGGCAGAAGAUUGGCUUUGGUUCUGCAAGCAGCUGCUCAUCUUCCCACUUUGCUGGAGAUAUGGAUAUCACAGAUUUAAAUCGUCAAGAUGGACGAGCUGAAAAAAUGUCCCCAUGAUCCAAAAUAAAUGAGGAGGCUAAAGAAAUCUUCUAGUACA
rnacentral:lncRNA from 1 species